GGCAGGGUGGCGUAGUAGUUAGCGCAUCUGCCUAGCGAGCAGGAGGCCUGGGUUCGAAACCUAGCCUUGGUA